UUUUUUUUUUUUUUUCCAUCAUUCGAUUUGAAUUCUUUACAGAGAUUCAUGAAGUCAUGGCCUAGAGUUUUACUUCAGAUCAUCUUUCUCCUUGCGUUUGUCAUAAUUCUAUCACAAUAACUUAUACAUCAUGCCGAAAAAUAUUUUCUUUCUAUCAGGUGGUGCGCAUUGAAAUUUGAUUUGCUGAUAGCUAUUGCUCUCGUUCUCCUCACAGAGUUAUUGGUUGGACCAAAGUAGAGUUUGGCCCUUAAAUAGAAGAAGAAGGGGUUUUUGAAACCAAAGAUCACCUUCUCAUUAUAUUCAAGGAAAAUGGUGGGCAGUAGAAUCGCCGGGUCUAUAACAACAGGGGCGAAAAUCGCUGAAUGUGGCUCUCACACUAUGGUCUAUGAUCUUGACAUGGACAUGUGGCCAAACAUUCAUCACCGAAAGAAAUACCUUUAAGAAGCUUAAGGUGUAGUCAUUGGUUGUACCACGCUAAAAGAUACAUGUAAGUUUUUUACCAGCCACUUUACAGAAUACAUGUCUGUUUUGUGUAUUUACAAAAAAUGAAAGUUCUAAACCCCCUACAAAAUUAUGUCAAAAAUGAAAAAAUAUUUGACUUUUCCUAUGCUUCCUAGCUUGUAGCAUCUUUUACAACGGCAACGAGCUGCUAUCAACAAGUUAAUCAAAUAAGCUGCUAUCAAAUGGAUAAAAAUUCAGAUCAACUUGCACUUAAAUAUUCUUUGAGUGCUAAGCACUGCACCAAUUUUGGUGUAUGGUGUUCAGUGGGGUGCUACAAUGAACUAUAUAUACUUUUGAUUAUAUAGUUAUCAACAACUACAUUUUAGUGUUCUUUUUUUUUUUUUUUUAUCUUCCUAUGUAAAUUUCAGCUCUUGGAUAUUUAGAGUGUAUGCAAUUGUGCUCUCAUACCUUUUCUUUUAAUACCUGGCUUAUUUAAACUUUUGUGAUGAUUAUUGUAAACCUUUAUUGGUAUCAUAUUGUUUGUGGUUCUGAUUAUAUUUGUUUGAGCUUGCUUAAUCUUCAUCACUUGAAUUACUUUUAUUAUUUCUUGUAUAUUGUCUUUUUUUCAAUGGCUUGCUUAUGCUGUAAACUGCCUUUUUCUUUUUCCUUGGGUGCUUCCUCUCUGCAAGGAGCCAGACAACUUUGUGAUUAGAUUUCCUAGUUCUUAAUCAUCUUAUCAUGGAGGUUUCAAUCUUGGAUUGAACUGUGUUGAUGCUGUUAAUUUUGCUCCUACUCAUUGAGGGUUUGGAUCAGAACUCUAUCAACUGUAUCAUAAGCCUGCUGUACUUUCUCAUGAGGAGCUGCUUUGCAUGGCUGCUAAGAUUGUUUGUGAUGCUAAAGUAGCACCUUACAUGAAUAAGGAGUUACUGAGGGUCUUUACAAAAGAGAAGAAUGGGAUGGAGCAGCUUUGGAAAAAGGGCCUUGUCAAAACAUCUGUUAUGUACUAGUUGAAGAGCCUGGAUUGGUUGUUUGUCUUGCAGCACUGGGAAAGCCUUUGUGAAUGUAAUCCAAGGAGAAGCAGCCUCCGAUAUCGCUACUCUCUUGCGGAAUUAAUUAAACGAACUGUUAGUCAUAACAAAGAAUGUAAUAUCAUAACUAAUUUCUUAGAAACAUUGUUGUGCUAGGUAGUUUUGCUCUUGUAUGAAUAUUUGAGUCUUAGGGAAGAUACUAAUUAAUUUAUAUACAAUGAAAUGAGAUUUUUUU